AGCGAACGCUGGCGGCAGGCCUAACACAUGCAAGUCGAACGAAGUCUUCGGACUUAGUGGCGGACGGGUGAGUAACACGUGGGAACGUGCCUUUAGGUGCGGAAUAACUCAGGGAAACUUGUGCUAAUACCGAAUGUGCCCUUCGGGGGAAAGAUUUAUCGCCUUUAGAGCGGCCCGCGUCUGAUUAGCUAGUUGGUGAGGUAAAGGCGCACCAAGGCGACGAUCAGUAGCUGGUCUGAGAGGAUGAUCAGCCACAUUGGGACUGAGACACGGCCCAAACUCCUACGGGAGGCAGCAGUGGGGAAUCUUGCGCAAUGGGCGAAAGCCUGACGCAGCCAGGCCGCGUGAAUGAUGAAGGUCUUAGGAUUGUAAAAUUCUUUCACCGGGGACGAUAAUGACGGUACCCGGAGAAGAAGCCCCGGCUAACUUCGUGCCAGCAGCCGCAGUAAUAC
rnacentral:rRNA from 1 species